GUCAGGAUGGCCGAGCGGUCUAAGGCGCCAGAUUUAAGCUCUGGUUCUCAAAAAAGAGAGCGUGGGUUCGAACCCCAAACAAUUGUUCCAACG